GAUGAACGCUGGCGGCGUGCUUAACACAUGCAAGUCGAGCGAACAGACGCGGAGUUUGCUCCUUUCUCGAGUGGCGCGCGGGUGAGUGACACAUGUGUAAAAUGCCCUUAACUGACUGGGAAAACUUCGGGACUGCGGCUCUUACAGCGUAUAAUAUAUUGAUCCGUAUGGUUGAAUAGAGAAAGUCGGCUUUGGGGGCAGUUCUGGAUGGAUCUGCGCCGCAUUGGCGAGUUGGUGAGGUAACGGCUUCCCAAGGCAACGAUGGGUGGGCGGCCUGAGAGGGGGAACGGCCACAUUGGGACUGAGAGACGGCGCAGACUGCUACGGGACGCAGCAGGGGGGAAUAUUGCAGAACGGGCGCAAGCCUGAUGCAGCGAUGCCGCGUGCGGGAUGACGUCUUUCGGGGUGUAAACCGAUUUCGAAGGAGACGAAGAGGUAGUGACGGUACCUGGUCAAGAAGCACCGGCUAACUACGUG
rnacentral:rRNA from 1 species